CAUAUAUUUACCAAAUUACAUUUUUUUUGAAAGCUCAAAGAUUGUGUGACAGCACAACCAGAACUCUGCUGACUCGGAACGGUUUCCAGGCUGUUCUCAGUCGUUGAGCAGAUCCGAAGGCAGCAGAUCUUCCCCUUGGUGAUA